rnacentral:tRNA from 1 species
GAAUAUAACUCAGUAGGUAGAGUGCUUGCCUCACAAGCACAAGGCCUUGGGUUCAAUCUCCAGCAUCA